rnacentral:rRNA from 2 species
UCUGGUUACUGGAGCGACUCGGUCCCACCCUUUCCCAUCCCGAACAAGGAAGUGAAACGAGUCAGCGCCGAUGAUACUACCUGCUUCGGCAGGAGGGAAAGUAGGUCGUAGCCAGGG